GAUGGACGCUAGCGGCAGGCCUAACACAUGCAAGUCGAGGGGGAGGUUACUUUCGGGUAACUGAGACCGGCGUACGGGUGCGUAACGCGUAUACAAUCUGCCUUUCACUGGGGGAUAGCCCGAAGAAAUUUGGAUUAAUACCCCAUAGUAUAGUAAUACGGCAUCGUGAUGCUAUUAAAGCUUAGGUGGUGAAAGAUGAGUAUGCGUUCUAUUAGCUAGUUGGAGAGGUAACGGCUCCCCAAGGCGAUGAUAGAUAGGGGUUCUGAGAGGGAUGUCCCCCACACUGGUACUGAGAUACGGACCAGACUCCUACGGGAGGCAGCAGUGAGGAAUAUUGGACAAUGGUCGGAAGACUGAUCCAGCCAUGCCGCGUGCAGGAUGAAGGUCUUAUGGAUUGUAAACUGCUUUUGUAAGGGAAGAAUAAGGGCUACGCGUAGUUUGAUGACGGUACCUUACGAAUAAGCAUCGGCUAACUCCGUG
rnacentral:rRNA from 1 species